rnacentral:tRNA from 1 species
CCUUCGAUAGCUCAGCUGGUAGAGCGGAGGACUGUAGGGGAACAUUUCCGAGUAGCAAUCCUUAGGUCGCUGGUUCGAUUCCGGCUCGAAGGA